rfam:Schistosoma mattheei strain Denwood, Zambia genome assembly, scaffold: SMTD_scaffold0003670
AUCUUGCUGACGAGUGCCAAGUAGCACGAAACUCGAGUUUAGGGU